GUCUAUCGAGGGUGAUCCCGGCAGCUUGUAUACUGACUGCAUCUGCACUUUUAAAACUUUAGGCUUCUUAGGUGCUGCUCAAAGAAAAGCUACAGCUCUCAAAGGUCUACCUUUGUUUAUGAGGGAAAAGACUGGAAACUUCCUGAAGUCUUGCCUGGUCAGGGGUUUUUUUCAUGCUGGAACACCGUUCAUUACAAUGAGACGAUGAUGUAAGAUGAC